GUAGGGAAUAUUGGGCAAUGGAUGCAAGUCUGACCCAGCCAUCCCGCGUGCCGGAAGAAGGCCCUCAGGGUUGUAAACGGCUUUUGACGGUGAAGAAUCGACAGGAUGCGUCCUGUUUUGACGGUAGCCGUUGAAUAAGCACCGGCUAACUCCGUGCCAGCAGCCGCGGUAAUACGGAGGGUGCGAGCGUUGUCCGGAUUUAUUGGGUUUAAAGGGUGCGUAGGCUGGAAGGUCAGUCAGCGGUGAAAAGCUGUCGCUUAACGAUAGUCUUGCCGCAGAUACUUCCUUUCUUGGAUGAGGAGGAGGCCACUGGAACGGAUGGUGUAGCGGUGAAAUGCAUAGAUAUCAUCCAGAACACCGAUUGCGAAGGCAGGUGGCUGUACCUUAAUCGACGCUGAUGCACGAAAGCAUGGGGAGCAAACAGGAUUAGAAACCCCAGUAGUCC
rnacentral:rRNA from 1 species